rnacentral:rRNA from 1 species
GAUGAACGCUGGCGGCGUGCCUAAUACAUGCAAGUCGAGCGAACGGACGAGAAGCUUGCUGCUCUGAUGUUAGCGGCGGACGGGUGAGUAACACGUGGAUAACCUACCUAUAAGACUGGGAUAACUUCGGGAAACCGGUGCUAAUACCGGAUAAUAUUUUGAACCGCAUGGUUCAAAAGUGAAAGACGGUCUUGCUGUCACUUAUAGAGGGAUCCGCGCUGCAGUAGCUAGGUGGUAAGGUAACGGCUUACCAAGGCAACGAUGCAUAGCCGACCUGAGAGGGUGAUCGGCCACACUGGAACUGAGACACGGUCCAGACUCCUACGGGAGGCAGCAGUAGGGAAUCUUACGCAAUGGGCGAAAGCCUGACGGAGCCACGCCGCGUGAGUGAUGAAGGUCCUCGGAUCGUAAAACUCUGUUAUUAGGGAAGAACAUAUGUGUAAGUAACUGUGCACAACUUGACGGUACCUAAUCAGAAAGCCCCGGCUAACUACGUG